rnacentral:rRNA from 2 species
CAUUAAUUUGAGAGUUUGAUCCUGGCUCAGGACGAACGCUGGCGGCGUGCCUAAUACAUGCAAGUCGAACGAACUCUGGUAUUGAUUGGUGCUUGCAUCAUGAUUUACAUUUGAGUGAGUGGCGAACUGGUGAGUAACACGUGGGAAACCUGCCCAGAAGCGGGGGAUAACACCUGGAAACAGAUGCUAAUACCGCAUAACAACUUGGACCGCAUGGUCCGAGUUUGAAAGAUGGCUUCGGCUAUCACUUUUGGAUGGUCCCGCGGCGUAUUAGCUAGAUGGUGAGGUAACGGCUCACCAUGGCAAUGAUACGUAGCCGACCUGAGAGGGUAAUCGGCCACAUUGGGACUGAGACACGGCCCAAACUCCUACGGGAGGCAGCAGUAGGGAAUCUUCCACAAUGGACGAAAGUCUGAUGGAGCAACGCCGCGUGAGUGAAGAAGGGUUUCGGCUCGUAAAACUCUGUUGUUAAAGAAGAACAUAUCUGAGAGUAACUGUUCAGGUAUUGACGGUAUUUAACCAGAAAGCCACGGCUAACUACGUGCCAGCAGCCGCGGUAAUACGUAGGUGGCAAGCGUUGUCCGGAUUUAUUGGGCGUAAAGCGAGCGCAGGCGGUUUUUUAAGUCUGAUGUGAAAGCCUUCGGCUCAACCGAAGAAGUGCAUCGGAAACUGGGAAACUUGAGUGCAGAAGAGGACAGUGGAACUCCAUGUGUAGCGGUGAAAUGCGUAGAUAUAUGGAAGAACACCAGUGGCGAAGGCGGCUGUCUGGUCUGUAACUGACGCUGAGGCUCGAAAGUAUGGGUAGCAAACAGGAUUAGAUACCCUGGUAGUCCAUACCGUAAACGAUGAAUGCUAAGUGUUGGAGGGUUUCCGCCCUUCAGUGCUGCAGCUAACGCAUUAAGCAUUCCGCCUGGGGAGUACGGCCGCAAGGCUGAAACUCAAAGGAAUUGACGGGGGCCCGCACAAGCGGUGGAGCAUGUGGUUUAAUUCGAAGCUACGCGAAGAACCUUACCAGGUCUUGACAUACUAUGCAAAUCUAAGAGAUUAGACGUUCCCUUCGGGGACAUGGAUACAGGUGGUGCAUGGUUGUCGUCAGCUCGUGUCGUGAGAUGUUGGGUUAAGUCCCGCAACGAGCGCAACCCUUAUUAUCAGUUGCCAGCAUUAAGUUGGGCACUCUGGUGAGACUGCCGGUGACAAACCGGAGGAAGGUGGGGAUGACGUCAAAUCAUCAUGCCCCUUAUGACCUGGGCUACACACGUGCUACAAUGGAUGGUACAACGAGUUGCGAACUCGCGAGAGUAAGCUAAUCUCUUAAAGCCAUUCUCAGUUCGGAUUGUAGGCUGCAACUCGCCUACAUGAAGUCGGAAUCGCUAGUAAUCGCGGAUCAGCAUGCCGCGGUGAAUACGUUCCCGGGCCUUGUACACACCGCCCGUCACACCAUGAGAGUUUGUAACACCCAAAGUCGGUGGGGUAACCUUUUAGGAACCAGCCGCCUAAGGUGGGACAGAUGAUUAGGGUGAAGUCGUAACAAGGUAGCCGUAGGAGAACCUGCGGCUGGAUCACCUCCUUUC